CUGGGAUUCAAACCAGGAGCAAAUGCUGGAAUCUGGGUUGAUCCUGGAGUCCAAGCCUCGGCCUUGUGUUGGGACCGGCCAGCUGCACUGACAACAUUUAGGACCGGUGGUGCCCAGACUUGAGGUCUGCCCCUGCCACCAGGGAAGUAUUCUCUGACCUCACUGCACUGAGAUGUGAAGCCAGCUUUUUGGUGAUUGCUUUUAGCCUCUGGACUAUUCUCUUACUGUAG
rnacentral:lncRNA from 1 species